rnacentral:rRNA from 1 species
CAAUAGCGUAUAUUAACGUUGUUGCAGUUAAAAAGCUCGUAGUUGGAUCUCUGGAGGGAGCGUCGGCCCGUAUUUACGAGUGCGUGACGUCUCUGUCCAUCCUUGCGGGAAGGCACGGCAUUGAUUUGUUGUGUCGGAUCGCAUCAUUUACUGUGAAAAAAUUAGAGUGUUCAAAGCAGGCUUUCGCUUGAAUACAUUAGCAUGGAAUAAUAAGAUAGGACUUUGGUGCUAUUUUGUUGGUUGGGCCUAAAGUAAUGAUUAAUAGGGAUAGUUGGGGGCACCUGUAUUGCGUUGUCAGAGGUGAAAUUCUUGGAUUUACGCAAGACAAACAGCUGCGAAAGCGUCUGCCAAGGAUGUUUUCAUUA